AGGAUAAUAGUUAAAUCUAUAACAUUAAAUUUGCAAUUUAAAAUUAUUUUAUAAAUUUAUCUUA
rnacentral:tRNA from 1 species